rnacentral:tRNA from 1 species
UGCCUUGUAGUAUAUACUCCCAUAAUUACUAUAAACUGCAACUUUAUCAAAGCAAAUGCCAAGGCAU